rnacentral:rRNA from 1 species
CUUGAUUAACUAUAAGAGGUCAAGCCUGCCCAGUGACAUUGUUCAACGGCCGCGGUAUCCUAACCGUGCGAAGGUAGCGUAAUCACUUGUCCUUUAAAUAAGGACUAGUAUGAACGGCUUCACGAAGGCUAUACUGUCUCCUUAAUCUAAUCAAUUAAACUAAUCUCCCCGUGAAGAAGCGGGGAUUCAUCUAUAAGACGAGAAGACCCUAUGGAGCUUUAAACAUCUAAGACACUUGAUUUUACCUACUAAACUUCAUGCAACCUAUCCUUCUGUCUUAAGUUUUAGGUUGGGGUGACCACGGAGAAAAAUUAAACCUCCACGUAGAAAGAAAAUUCUUUUCUAAGCAAAAAGCCACAUCUUAACGCAUCAAUAUAUUGACUUACUUGACCCAAUUUCUUGCUCAACGAAC